UACAGAGGUCCCAAGCGUUGUUCGGAUUCACUGGGCGUAAAGGGUGCGUAGGUGGCAAGGUAAGUUUGAUGUGAAAUCUCCGGGCUUAACCCGGAAACUGCAUUGAAUACUAUCUCGCUCGAGAGUUGGAGGGGAGACUGGAAUACUUGGUGUAGCAGUGAAAUGCGUAGAUAUCAAGUGGAACACCAGUGGCGAAGGCGAGUCUCUGGACAACUUCUGACACUGAGGCACGAAAGCUAGGGGAGCAAACAGG
rnacentral:rRNA from 2 species